CAGUCGCCACGGUAAUACGAGGGGGGCAAGCGUUGUUCGGAAUUAUUGGGCGUAAAGGGUGCGUAGGCGGUUACGUAAGUCUUAUGUGAAAUCUAUGGGCUCAACCCAUAGUCUGCAUGGGAAACUGCGAGGCUUGAGGAUGGGAGAGGUGAGUGGAAUUUCCGGUGUAGCGGUGAAAUGCGUAGAUAUCGGAAGGAACACCUGUGGCGAAAGCGGCUCACUGGACCAUUUCUGACGCUGAUGCACGAAAGCUAGGGGAGCAAACAGGAUUAGAUACCCGCGUAGUCCCUGUCUCUUAUAA
rnacentral:rRNA from 1 species